AAAUUGAAGAGUUUGAUCAUGGCUCAGAUUGAACGCUGGCGGCAGGCCUAACACAUGCAAGUCGAGCGGAAACGACAUUAUUGAAUCUUCGGAGGAUUUAAUGGGCGUCGAGCGGCGGACGGGUGAGUAAUGCCUAGGAAAUUGCCUUGAUGUGGGGGAUAACCAUUGGAAACGAUGGCUAAUACCGCAUAAUGCCUACGGGCCAAAGAGGGGGAUCUUCGGACCUCUCGCGUCAAGAUAUGCCUAGGUGGGAUUAGCUAGUUGGUGAGGUAAUGGCUCACCAAGGCGACGAUCCCUAGCUGGUCUGAGAGGAUGAUCAGCCACACUGGAACUGAGACACGGUCCAGACUCCUACGGGAGGCAGCAGUGGGGAAUAUUGCACAAUGGGCGAAAGCCUGAUGCAGCCAUGCCGCGUGUAUGAAGAAGGCCUUCGGGUUGUAAAGUACUUUCAGUUGUGAGGAAGGGGGUAGUGUUAAUAGCGCUAUCUCUUGACGUUAGCAACAGAAGAAGCACCGGCUAACUCCGUGCCAGCAGCCGCGGUAAUACGGAGGGUGCGAGCGUUAAUCGGAAUUACUGGGCGUAAAGCGCAUGCAGGU
rnacentral:rRNA from 1 species